GUAGGGUGCAAGCGUUAAUCGGAAUUACUGGGCGUAAAGCGUGCGCAGGCGGUUUCGUAAGUCUGUCGUGAAAUCCCCGGGCUCAACCUGGGAAUGGCAUUUGGGACUGUAAGGCUGGAGUAUGGCAGAGGAGACUAGAAUUCCUGGUGUAGCAGUGAAAUGCGUAGAUAUCAGGAGGAAUACCGAUGGCGGAGGCAGGUCUCUGGGCCAAUACUGACGCUCAUGCACGAAAGCGUGGGGAGCAAACAGGAUUAGAUACCCUGGUAGUCCACGCCCUAAACGAUGUCAACUGGUUGUUGGGGGAUUUAUUCUCUUAGUAACGAAGCUAACGCGUGAAGUUGACCGCCUGGGGAGUACGGUCGCAAGAUUA
rnacentral:rRNA from 1 species